GCGGUCGUGGUGGAACGGCAGACACGCUAUCUUGAGGGGGUAGUGGGCGGACGCCCGUGUGGGUUCAAAUCCCACCGACCGCACCA
rnacentral:tRNA from 1 species